AGUGAACGCUGGCGGUAGGCCUAACACAUGCAAGUCGAACGGCAGCACAGUAAGAGCUUGCUCUUACGGGUGGCGAGUGGCGGACGAGUGAGGAAUACAUCGGAAUCUACUUUUUCGUGGGGGAUAACGUAGGGAAACUUACGCUAAUACCGCAUACGACCUACGGGUGAAAGCAGGGGAUCUUCGGACCUUGCGCGAUUGAAUGAGCCGAUGUCGGAUUAGCUAGUUGGCGGGGUAAAGGCCCACCAAGGCGACGAUCCGUAGCUGGUCUGAGAGGAUGAUCAGCCCCACUGGAACUGAGACACGGUCCAGAAUCCUAAGGGAGGCAGCAGUGGGGAAUAUUGGACAAUGGGCGCAAGCCUGAUCCAGCCAUACCGCGUGGGUGAAGAAGGCCUUCGGGUUGUAAAGCCCUUUUGUUGGGAAAGAAAAGCAGCAGGUUAAUACCCCGCUGUUCUGACGGUACCCAAAGAAUAAGCACCGGCUAACUUCGUG
rnacentral:rRNA from 1 species